UUUAACAAUCUCGUGUUUUAUCACUUGUUGCUUACGACCACUUAUAAUUUUAUUCUCUUUGUUUAGUCGCACUCUUUAUUUCUAAAUGUCGUGUUAGUGGCUCCCCACAACUUCCUGCACUUUCACCUAUCUUUCGGCAAACCUCUGCGCCUGGCCGAUGUUGAGGCCUUUACUUAAUCGGUCCAGGAGUAGGGGCUUGGAUCAAGUUUUCCUAAACCGUCUGGGUCCUCUGCGUGUAACAUGUCCAAAAUAACUCAGGAUGCGUUGUUUCCUAUGGAUUUUGCACUUAAGACUCGGAUGAAGGAUGAUCUCGUAGAGAAAAUGUCAAGAAUUCACACGAUUCGAAGAAAAAUGCAAAUCGAAGAAGUGUCACGCACUCCGGUGAUCAGCCUGAUCAUCUAGAAAAUAAUCAAUAAAAUAUACGCAUGUUUA